rnacentral:lncRNA from 1 species
GCAAGUACUUUUUGUAGAAUCGUAGAGUCCGGAUAAUAUUAAUUGCUCAGGGAUUCGAUANGAGACAGGUAUGGAGAGGAGUUCUGGCAGAUUCUUCCGCCGGUUCAGGCUGCCGGAGAAUGCCAAAAUGGAUCAGGUCAAGGCAAACAUGGAGAAUGGUGUCCUAACUGUAACUGUUCCCAAAGGGGAGGUGAAGAAGCCUGAUGUCAAAGCCAUUGAGAUUUCUGGUUGAAUUUGAUAAACACCAAGAAACUGUUUUGAAGUCUUACGUAUUGUGUAUGCGUACUUAUGAAUCGGUAUAUGUUAUCUUUUAACUGUGUUAUCGGGUGAAAUGGUUGACUUUUGAAGUGUGAUGAUCUAUGUUUUGUUGAAUAAAACUUGCUUUAUUUGAAUAUAUUUUCAGAGUAUCUUUGAGUUAAUUUCUUAUUUUGAAAGGGCAUAUUUAAUUAUUUGAAGAGUUUUUAUAAAUUUAUAGCGUUCAAUUUUAA